rnacentral:rRNA from 1 species
AACGAACGCUGGCGGCGUGGAUUAGGCAUGCAAGUCGAACGCGAAAGAGGGAGCAAUCCCUCAAGUAGAGUGGCGAACGGGUGAGUAACGCGUGAAGAACCUGCCUUCAACAGGGGGAUAACACUCCCAACGGGGUGCUAAUACCGCAUGAGACCACGGGUCCGCAUGGACCUGAGGUCAAAGGUGGCCUCUGCUUGCAAGCUACCGGUUGAAGAUGGCUUCGCGUCCCAUAGCUAGUUGGCGGUGUAAAAGACCACCAAGGCGACGAUGGGUAGCUGGUCUGAGAGGAUGGUCAGCCACACUGGGACUGAGAUACGGCCCAGACUCCUACGGGAGGCAGCAGUCGAGAGGCUUUGGCAAUGGGGAAACCCUGACCAAGCGACGCCGCGUGGAGGA